rnacentral:piRNA from 1 species
UGCUUGGAUAUGCCUGGACAUGUGUGU